rnacentral:rRNA from 1 species
CCUACGGGUGGCAGCAGUCGAGAAUCAUUCACAAUGGGGGAAACCCUGAUGGUGCGACGCCGCGUGGGGGAAUGAAGGUCUUCGGAUUGUAAACCCCUUUCAUGUGGGAGCAAAUUAAAAAGAUAGUAGCACAAGCGGAAGAUACGGCUAACUCUGUGCCAGCAGCCGCGGUAAUACAGAGGUCUCAAGCGUUGUUCGGAAUCACUGGGCGUAAGGCGUGCGUAGGCGGUUUCGUAAGUCGUGUGUGAAAGGCGAGGGCUCAACCCGCGGACGGCACAUGAUACUGCGAGACUAGAGUAAGGGAGAGGGAAGCGGAAUUCUCGGUGUAGCAGUAAAAUGCGUAGAUAUCGAGAGGAACACUCGUGGCGAAGGCGAGUUCCUGGACAUUAACUGACGCUGAGGCACGAAGGCCAGGGGAGCGAAAGGGAUUAGAUACCCGGGUAGUC